UCUUAAAGCCGUUCUCAGUUCGGAUUGUAGGCUGCAACUCGCCUACAUGAAGUCGGAAUCGCUAGUAAUCGCGGAUCAGCAUGCCGCGGUGAAUACGUUCCCGGGCCUUGUACACACCGCCCGUCACACCAUGAGAGUUGGAAAUACCCGAAGCCUGUGAGCUAACUGUAAAGAGGCAGCAGUCGAAGGUAGAGCCAAUGAUUGGGGUGAAGUCGUAACAAGGUAAC
rnacentral:rRNA from 1 species